rnacentral:lncRNA from 1 species
UUGCUUUAGUUUAGUUCGUUCAGUUCCAUUCUGAUGACGAAACGCUCCUGCCCAACUUAUGAUGGUCAAUCACUCAUCACUUGGAAUAUCGACGGAUAUUCAGAAACACAGAUGAUGAAUACUUUUCAAGAAAUGUUAUUGGCAGCCUCUGCCUUUAGCGCCAGAAAAUCAAUCUACGAAACGGCUUAAAUACUCAUAUUAGGCUUCAAUGGGAACCUAAGAAGCUGGUGGCAUAAUCAGCUUACUGAGCAAGAUCGACAAAGGAUCUUUGACUACAACAAAAACGGUUGUAAAAACUAAAGGCUCUUCAGUUCCAGUACAAACCGAAGAACCAGAUAUGAUGAAUCAAUUACUCUACACAAUGACUAAACAUUUCAUUGGAAGUACCCAGAUUCAUUUCAAUCUAGCAACAGAAGCUCUUCUUGGACUAAAAUGUCAUAAGAUGAGCAGAUACAAAUGGUAUAAAGACACCUUCAUGGCACGUAUGUAUACCAUAACAACAUGCGGUGCUAAUAUCUAGAAACAAAAAUUCGUUGAAGGAUUACCAUAUUAUAUUUCUCAAAAGUUUUAUCAAACUAUGACAGCAAAUUUUGUCAAUCAACAAAUUAAUUGGGCAAAUCUAACUUACGGGGAUAUUUCAUCCACAGUUCAAAUGAUAUGUGUUAAUCUCUGGACAGAGAAUAAACACACAACGAAGGUAAUAAAGAUUCUGACUACCGGAAGGAAUUGGGCACCUUCUACAAACAAUAUGGUCUGUCUAACAGACCAAAGGAGGAGAAGGAAAAGAAGAAAAAGAAGAAUUAUCCUUCUCGAAACAUUAUCUUUAGAAAAAAGAAAUCUAAAGAUCAUGAGCCUCCUCGAAGAAGGAAGCAUAAUUACCAGAAGGGUAAAAGCAAGAAGUAUUACUCUUCAAAAACAAAAACGAUUUGCUAUAAAUGCAAUCAAAGUGGUCAUUAUGCUAAUCGUUGUCCUCUAAGAGACAGAAUCAAUGCCCUCAAAAUAGACGAAGAAACGAAGCAAUCCCUCCUCUAUGCUAUAAGGUCGGAUGAUGACGACUCCUCUCAAACAGAAUCUUCAUUAGAGGAAGAUUUCAUCAACGUUUUACAAGAAGAAGGAUCGUCCUCUAAAGAAGAAUUCUUCUCUCAAAGUGAUUCAAGUGAUGACGAAGGGGCUAUUCCCUGCACCGGACAGUGUGCUGGCCACAUCAAUGUCAUCACUAAAGAUCAAGAAACUCUUUUUGAUCUCAUCGAACAAAUACCAGAUGAAACGGCAAAAAGAACCUGUCUACUCAAAUUGAGGCAAAGUAUAGAAGAGCAAACGCCUCGACAGACGGUUCAUAGUCCGAUAAUGUACUCAUAUCAGAACAUAUUGAACCGAAUAAAGGGCGAAACAAAAAUGCCCAUUCAAGUUAAUGAUCUUCACCAUGAAGUAAAGAUUCUCAAAAAAGAAGUUGCUAAUAACAAGCAACGACUCACCUAUCUUGAAAAUGCUUUCCAAGCAUUCCAAGAAUCUCCAAUCAGGGAAGAAUAUCUGGAAACUUCAAUAAACAAUUUUGAAUGAAAAACCGAGGAAAUGACACUAUUGAUAGAAGAACCAAACUUUAUCAAUAGUAUAAGCAAAGUUCACAAUCAGAAGUGGAUAUCAAAGAUAGUCUUUAAAGUUAAAGACUUUCAACUAGAAACAUUAACCCUCUUUGACUCCGGGGCUGAUCAGAAUGUUAUUCAAGAAGGCCUCGUCCCUUCGAAAUAUUUCGAAAAGACGAAAGAAUCCUUAACUGGAGCAGGAGGAAAUCCUCUCAAUAUUGAGUUCAAAUUAUCCAAAGUGCACAUUUGUAAAGACAAUGUGUGCCUGGUUAAUACUUUCAUUCCGGUCAAAAACCUUAAUGAAGGUAUCAUUCUAGGAACAUCGUUCCUAACUCAAAUAUAUCCUUUUUAUGUCACUAAAGAGGGUAUAAUGUCGAAGAAAUUCGACAAAGAAAUUACUUUUGAGUUUACUCAACCAGUAACUCCCAGGUACAUCUCGAAUAUUGAGGAAGAAAUUCGUCAAUUCAUCAACAGAAUCGCCAAAAAGGAGAAACAAAUAGAGUUUCUUCAAGACGAUAUCAAGGGUUGUAAAGUGGCUUCAGCAAUAAGUAAGCCAUUAAUCCAACAGAAAAUUCAGAACUUCCAGCAACGCCUUGAAAAGGAAGUCUGUUCAAAUCUCCCAAAUGCCUUUUGGGAUAGAAAAAAACAUAUGGUAACUCUACCAUAUAAAGAAGGGUUCAAGGAAUCACAAAUUCCCACAAAAGCCCGACCUAUUCAAAUGAACAGAGAUUUAGUCAAAGUCUGUACAAACGAGAUAUAGGAUCUACUCAAGAAGGGCCUUAUAAGCCCAUCAAAAAGCCCAUGGUCGUGUUCGACCUUUUAUGUCAAUAGCCAGGUCGAAAAAGAGCGUGGUGUACCAAGGCUUGUCAUUAAUUACAAGCCUCUCAACAAAGUUCUCAAAUGGAUUUGGUAUCCAAUUCGUAAUUGGCAAGAUUUGCUAAAAAGAAUUACUCUAGCAAAAUUCUUCUCAAAAUUUGAUAUGAAAUUUGGAUUUUGGCAAAUCCAGAUACACUCAACUGAAUGUUACAAGACGGCUUUCAAUGUUCCAUUCGGAAAAUUCCAAUGGAAUGUCAUGCCAUUCGGAUUGAAUAAUGCUCCGUCCGAAUUUCAGAAGAUAAUGAACGAUAUCUUCAACCCGUAUCAAGAUUUCACAAUAGUAUACAUUGAUGAUAUCUUGGUAUUCUCAAACACUGUUGAUCAACAUUUUAAACAUCUUCGGGUGUUUCUAAAUGUGAUUAAAACAAAUGGUCUUGUGGUUUCUCAACCAAAGAUCAAAUUAUUUCAAGUAAAGAUUAGAUUUCUUGGUUAUGAAAUUAAUCAAGGAAUCAUCAAACCAAUUCAAAGGUCUCUAGAUUUUGCAGAUAAAUUUCCAGACAUAAUACAAGACAAGACUCAGCUACAGAGGUUUCUUGGCUGUAUUAAUUACAUCGGAGAUUUUAUUCGCGAUCUUCGCUCAAUUUGUCUACCUUUAUAUGACAGACUGAAAAGGAAUCCAAAACCAUGGACGGGCGAGCAUACUCGAGCAGUCCAAUCAAUCAAAUCCCUGGCCAAAAGCAUCCCAUGCUUAUCUCUUGUAGAUGAACAAGCCAAACUCAUUAUUGAUACAGAUGGAUCAAAUAUUAGUUACGGAGGCAUCCUCAAAUAGGAACUUAACGGAAAAAUCUUCAUUGCCCGUUAUCAUUCAGGAAUCUGGAACAAUGCAACAAAGAACUAUUCAACAGUAAAAAUGGAAAUACUAGCAAUAGUACUUUCCGUCCAGAAAUUUCAAGGAGAUCUAAUUAACAAGGAAUUCCUUGUUCGAACAGAUUCAAAAGCAAGUAAAUACAUAUUUGAAAAGGAUGUAAAGAAUCUUAUCUCGAAGCAAAUCUUCGCAAGAUGGCACGCAAUCUUAUCUUGCUUUGAUUUCAUAAUUGAGCCUAUAAAAGGCAGUGAGAAUUCACUUGCUGACUACCUCUCAAGAGAGCAUCUCUUGAAGAACUCUUCCUCAGCCCUGAAUUCCUUCUCUCAUGGAACCACCUUCCGGCCGGCAACGGCCACCCAACCAGCGGCAACAGCCGCAAAACAAUCAAAAUAAUAGUCCAAGAAGACAACCACAAACAGUAGCUUCCUCUUCGAGAACUACUUCUCCUAAGGGAAAAUCCACAGCUCAAUCAUCCGCACCGUCGCCGAUGAGUGCAGAAAGCUACGCCAUUGACUUGCAAUUUGAGCAAGUAUCCAGGCGUCGUCAAGGCUCUGCUAACAGAGCAUUGAAAAUCCAAACAGACACUUCGAGUCUUCCCCCUCAUACCGUCAAGCAUGUUGUUGCGACCCUCUAGGUCGACAACUCUAAACAAGCGUGCCGCAUCACCGGCCGCAUCCUCCUCAAGGUCUGCAGUUCCUCGGAAUCCAUCAUCGUAUUCCCAGAUUGUACGGCCAAAGGUCUUCCAACCAAGACCUCCAAUUACUGGUUAUUUCAAAAAACAACAAUGGUAGACCUAACCAUAGAACCAGAAUUCGAUGGACCUUCAGUCCCCGAAGUUUGCAAACAAGUAUUUCCUCAUGGAUUCAACUUUCUUCCGGAGGACCUCUCAAAGACUAGGACAUUCUAUGAGUUCAUCUUAGUUGAUUCUAAGUCAGCUGAAAUCACACAUGUCCCUGAUAAAAAUGAUCCCUCAAAGAUCAUUUACUCAAAGCUAAGAAUUUUUCAAGUACUCACUCCAUCCUAUUGGAAACAGGGGAUGUUCGUGGGAAAGAGAUUUUCACAACCCUUCAAACCACCAUCAUACAAUUACCGUGACUAUACAAAGGCAUGGUACAUCAUAUUUUGGUUACAAGCCUACAACCAUUCAUGGUUUGUGACGUUUUGUAAGCAAGCUUACAAAAUGCACUUUCCCCAAUGGUUUCAAAACUGGUGGAUGUAUUUUGGACUCUUUGAGGAAAUUUUCCCAGUAGAAGUUCAACGUUCAUACCAUCUCUUCCAACAAAGUAUCUACUCGUCUCCUCUCUCAAAGACGUUUAGGUUUGCUUUGUAUUUUCAAAUACCCUGGAUCUUUUGCUGGAAUUUCCAACUUGGACCCUCUGGGAAUUUUAAAGCAUUGAGCAAAUCACGGAUCAAGUGGUGGGAAAAAUUCAGCUAUUCCCAUCUAGAAGUAAGCAAAAUAAAGGACUGGUUUAAAGCCAACGUCCAUCUGCAAGAUAUGACUAGGCAAGAGGAUGAAGCCUUCCUCCUCACCAAAAAUGCAGUCAUGACAACUCUUGCUGGCACAAGUACUCAACAGGAAUUCAAUUCCAUCGUCAACAACGUCGUCGUAGACCUCUCAGACGACCACUCAUUUACUUACCCUAAAGUUGGGAAGGAGUGAUUAUGUUUUCAGCUCUCCACUCGAUUUUGUCCCCAAAAUGUAAGCAUAUUGAGUUGACAAUCUUGCCACUCUCACUCGUACAAAUCAAAGGACAAUCCUUCGCGAACAUGAGUUCAUAAUACACUCAGGAUUAAGACUAAGUUACCUAAGUCAUCCUAAUGAAAUAGAAUUCCAACUAGUUAACGGAGUUACAUCUAAUGGUUACUAUUUCGUGGUCCAGUCUUAUACUAACUCAUUGUAUAGUACCCCUUACUCGCAUGUCAACUGCACGAACACGUUAGAUCAUUGCGUUUGUAUCAAGUACAAAGUGAACCGUAUCUAUAGUGUUACCAGGAUAAGGUAUCCGAACUUAUCCCUAUACUACAAGCUCUUUAAGCUGAUCUCGGCAUUGAUUCAUGUAUAUUGGAUUUAGGUUAUUAAGAAAAAACUAAUAAUCAAUAACACUUAUUGAAAUUAUAAUAACAACACUUUAUUAAUAACGAUCAAUGAAUUAUAUUUACAAUCUACGAGUUUUAGGACAUAAAUCCCAACGAGAAGUAUUUAUAAUACUUUUUCGCUGUACAUUUUUGGAAAAUAGAAAACACAACAAAUAAUAACUAAUUCUAAAACAGAGUUUAUACAUGAUAAUAUCCUCCCUCAAAUUGAUGCACUUUAGACUUAAGGCAUAAAUUUGGAUCAAAGAGUGUUAAAGCGAUCGGUGGUGAGAGGUUUUGUGAAUAUAUAAGCAGGUUGUUUUGUUGAGGGAAUGUACAAUAGUGUAAUGUAAUUUUGGACAACUUUUUCCCUUAUAAAGUGAAAGUCUACUUCCAUGUGUUUGGCUCGACCAUGAAAGACAGGGUUAUGAGCAAGUUGGAUGGCAAACUCUUUGUUACACCAUAAAAAAGGAGGUUCUUUUCUAAAUAUAUGUAAGUCUCGAAGGAGUUGUCAAAUCUAAAAAAACUUAAGAAGUUGUUGUUGCAAGGGCUCUAUACUAAGCUUCUAUUUAACUUUGAGAUACAGUGGACUACUUUUUGGUAGCCAUGAUAUUGGAUUAUCUCCUAGGUAGAUGAUGAAUCUCAUGGUUGAUCUUUUAUUAAAAUUAUUUCUUGUCCAAUCUGAAUUUGAGAAUGCAUUUACUUUGAAUGAAUUUGUGGAUUUCUUGAAGAGUAUGCCUUGUGAAGUGGUUCCACUAAUGUAUCUUAGUACUCUUUUGGCUGUUGUAAGAUGGCAAUAGGUAGGUGAGUGCAUGAACUGUGACAGUUUGCUUACUGAGAAGGUGAGAUAUUGGAGGGCUCCAAAGAUGGUUCUGUAAGUUGUUGCAUUUUCAUUUGAACAUGGAUUGUCUGGUUUGUCAUUAAAGAAAUGUAUAGGAAUUGGAGUAUUACAUGGUUUGCAUCCAUUCAUUCCGACCCUUUUUUAUACAUCCUUAGCAUAUUUUCUUUGUGUGAUAAAGAUAUCAAAUGAGUUCCUCAGGAUUUUGAGCACUAGAAAAUAUUUCAACAUUCCUAAGUUAGUCAUAUCAAACUGCUGCUGCAGCUGAUUUAUUAACACAUCAAUGUAUGGCUAAUCGUUGCCUAUUAUUAUGAUGUCAUCUACAUAAAGUUGGAGAUAAGUAGUAGAUUUUCUAAAUUUUUGAACAAACAAUGAAUUAUCAACUUUUGAAGCAUUAAACCCAAGUGUUAAUAGGUGGGUUGUGAAGCAUUUAAACCAAGCUCGAUGAACUUCUUUGAGGCCAUAUAACGAUUUUUGGAGCUUGCACACUAGGUUUGGUCUUGUUCUGUCAACAAAACCUUGUGGUUGUUGCAUAUAGACUUCUUCAUAGAGUUUUCCAUGUACAAAGGCAUUUUUAACAUCAAGUUGCCUUAGUUUCCAUUCAAAUUGUGCAGCUAAAGAUAGAACUAUCUGGACAGUAGGCUUUUUUACAACUGGGCGAAAUGUCUCUUCAAAAUCUAUUCCCUCUUGUUGGUGGUAUCCCUUGGAAACUAACCUUUCUUUAUGUCUAGCAAUGGAUCCAUCAAAGUUUCUUUUUGUUUAGUCUAGUGAGUUUCCAUGUUCCUUGUUUCAGUAGAGCAUCAUAUUCUUCUUUCAAUUUCAUCAACAUAAUUUUUGGAAAGAUGUGUUGAUGCAACAAAAAAUUUCUUCUUUGAUAUACUAGAUUUGCUUCUGGUUUGCAUUGGAUGGACAUUUAGAUUUGUUCCCAAUGAUACAUUUAUGCCCAUUUCAGUUUCAGUAUCCAGUUCAUUGUUUAGAUAGGACUCAUAUGUUUGUGAAGAAAUAUGAUUGUUGGCAUAGAUGACACAUCACUUUCAUUACUCACACUAGGAAUAGGUGCGAGGUCUUUUAGAAACAAAGAUAAAGGUAUUUGAUGGAAUUUUGUAUGGUUACCUUUUGUGGUGUUGUUUUAUAGGGUUAUUGAGAAGGGAAAGAAAAAACUCAUCAAAGAUAACAUGUCUAGAUAUGAAAAAUUUUCCAAUGGUCAUGUUGUAACACAAGUAACCUUUGUAAUCUAGAGGAUAACCAAGAAAGAUGCAUUGAGAGUUUUUUGGUUGGAGUUUAUGAGAAUUGUAUUGCUUUAGUAAACGGUAGCAGACAUAACAAAUUUUUUUUAGAGGUUUAUAGUCAAAGGGUUGAUUGAAUAGGCAUUCAAAGGGAGUCUUAUUUUGAAGGUUUUGAGAUGGGAGUCUAUUUAUGAGGUAUACAACUAUGGCAAAGGCAAAGGACAAGAAUUUUGUUGGGAAGGAGGCAUAGGUAUUAGGGAGAUGACUACUUCUAUUAUAUGGCGGUGUUUUCUUUUUAUUGCAUCAUUUUGUUGAGGAGUACAGGAACAUGAUUUUUGGUGGGAUAUGCCAUUUGUGGUGAGGAAGGAUGAUAGAUUUUUGUUGAUGAAUUCACCUCCUCCAUUGGAGGGCUCCAAAGAUGGUUCUGUAAGUUGUUGCAUUUUCAUUUGAACAUGGAUUGUCUGGUUUGUCAUUAAAGAAAUGUAUAGGAAUUGGAGUAUUACAUGGUUUGCAUCCAUUCAUUCCGACCCUUUUUUAUACAUCCUUAGCAUAUUUUCUUUGUGUGAUAAAGAUAUCAAAUGAGUUCCUCAGGAUUUUGAGCACUAGAAAAUAUUUCAACAUUCCUAAGUUAGUCAUAUCAAACUGCUGCUGCAGCUGAUUUAUUAACACAUCAAUGUAUGGCUAAUCGUUGCCUAUUAUUAUGAUGUCAUCUACAUAAAGUUGGAGAUAAGUGGUAGAUUUUCUAAAUUUUUGAACAAACAAUGAAUUAUCAACUUUUGAAGCAUUAAAACCAAGUGUUAAUAGGUGGGUUGUGAAGCAUUCAAACCAAGCUCGAUGAACUUCUUUGAGGCCAUAUAACGAUUUUUGGAGCUUGCACACUAGGUUUGGUCUUGUUCUGUCAACAAAACCUUGUGGUUGUUGCAUAUAGACUUCUUCAUAGAGUUUUCCAUGUAUAAAGGCAUUUUUAACAUCAAGUUGCCUUAGUUUCCAUUCAAAUUGUGCAGCUAAAGAUAGAACUAUCUGGGAAUUUUAAAGCAUUGAGCAAAUCACUCAGGAUUAAGUGGUGGGAAAAAUUCAGCUAUUCCCAUCUAGAAGUAAGCAAAAUAAAGGACUGGUUUAAAGCCAACGUCCAUCUGCAAGAUAUGACUAGGCAAGAGGAUGAAGCCUUCCUCCUCACCAAAAAUGUUGUCAUGACAACUCUUGGUGGCAUAAGUACUCAACAGGAAUUCAAUUCCAUCGUCAACAACAUCGUCGUAGACCUCUCAGACGACCACGACGAUUUACUAGAGGACGCUUCUCUAGCCUCUGUUAAUAAUGUCGACAACCUCGAUUAUGACCCAUACGAAGGCCUCGACAUCAACGACCCAUUUUUGAACACACAACCAUACUAAAGUCCAAGAUUGAGGUCCUUCUUUCAAGAGUUUUUAAAUUUAGUCAAAAGUAUUAAUUGUAAUUAAUUGUAAAUUAAUUUGUUUAAAAAAAAUUCUAAAUUUAUUUAGAAAAGAUCAUUGUAUUCCGAUCUUAUCAUUGCUUUUACAGUCUGCUAUUGUAACUGUCCUCAAGAAAGAGUUUGAAAGAGAAGAAGAUAAUGGAGAUGAUUCACUUCUGCAAGAGGAUUAGCCAACCUCAGGCAACAUAGAAAGCGGACGACGCCAACGUAGCACACGUUAUGGAUUAACUUUGAUUGGGAUUAUUUCCAGAAGGAUACAUAAGAUAGAUAUCUGAGAAUGGGGAGGGGACCUGCUCCUAGUGGCAGCGAGGCGGGAGGCCGAAGUAAGAUCGCAGUAGGGAGCUAAAUAAUCCUUAAUGAAAGAUAUCAAUCUUAUGGAUCUUAAUCCGCGUCGAGCCAAGCAGAAGACGAUCGGGUGACGUCAUCAACUUCCCCAACAAGUUUCUACUUGAAGAUAAGGAUGAAUGACAGACAUAUCCCAUCUAUCUUACCGCUUCAUUUCGUUGUGUAUUUACCUUCUUUUUAAAGCAUAUCUUUACUUUUCAAGAGAUAAGAUUUUCAGAAAAGCCAAACAGGGGUCUUGUCCUGUCGGCCACUCUGAAAUCAUAUGUAUUCAAUUAUUGUUGAAGAUCACUGUGUACACAAUAGUGAAAGAGUGAAUCUCUCACUAUAAUAAAGAGCAGCGACCUUCGACCCUCAAUGGCAAUAAAAAAUGUUAUAAAAGAGGUUCUAUAGCUAUUUUAGAUACGUUAUUAAAAGUCUCUUAUUUUUGUUAGCAUUAUUCAUCGGGAUAGAUUUUAGUGUUUUAACUUUUUUAUUUUACAAUUUGUCUUGCAAACAAUAUUUUAAAAUCAAAUUAUAACCAUAUACAUAUGUAUACAAGUCAUUUUCCUAGGCAAAGAGAUGGAAUUCACAUUUCAAUAAAAUCUACAAUAAUAAUUAUAAUGAACAUGUUUAUUUCUAACAUACAAAAAAAAUUAGCAUUAUAUUCAUUCAAAAUGUUUGAUAUAAUCAUCAAAAUUAAGUAUGUUCCAACAAAACUUUCGUAUAAUUCUUUUCCUUCAUCAUGAUGGAUUUAAUCGAAGCUCUAUUCUCUAGCAUUGGAUUUUUCUUUAGAGAGAUUUCAACUAUAUCCAUGAGUUCAAGAUUCUAUUAGUGUUCACCAUCAAGCCCUUCAAUGACAAAUCAUAUAAAUGAUAAACAAAAACAAAAUCAUUGCGUCAAGUCAGGAUUCAGAACAAGCAAUAGACAAUCUGAUCCAUGAAUGACUAGACUAGUAUCCUAAACAACAAAAAACACCAUCGUAUUUCACCUAAAAGAAACAAUACAAAACAAGCACCUUUAGGAAAACUCACAAGCAUUAUAUAUUCUCACGAAAAAGACGUGUUUAUGCAAAAAUCAGAAUAACUACAAUACCCAAGCUGAAUGGCGUUGGAGUUGGAUGACCUAAAUUGGUUUUUGUCAAUUAGUGAGAAAAAAUAUGUUCAAAUAAUCCCCAUUACACAUACACCAUUCUUGCUUUCUUUCCUAGCAAUGGUCUCAAGAACCAACUCGGCUUGAAUCCCUUUUUCACAUUGAAGCAAAAUUAUAAUAAAUCCUGUUGAUUUUAUGGAAUCAAUCUAUAUUUCAUUAAUUACUUAAUAGAGAUACAAGCCUAUAUAUAACCAUAGAGAAAUACACUUAAGGAAAUAAUAUCAAAUAAUAUCUCCAGAAUAAUAUCUCCAGAAUAAUAUCUCCUAAGAAUAAUAUCUCCUAAGAAUAAUAUCUCCUAAGAAUAAUCUAAUUAUAUUAAUACCCUCCCUCAAACUCAAGGUUGAAAUCACAAACUUGAGUUUGCUAAGAACUAAGAAAAGAAACAAUAUAUCUAGAAUAGAAUAAAAAACCCGAAGAACAAACACACAAAGAACUUCUAGGCUAAAACAAACCCACGAAGAGCGAAACGAAGAACUUCUGGGAUAGAAACAUAGAUCCUCGUAUAGAGAUCUAUAACAGAACCUAGGAAGAACGAAACAAGAACUCCGGGGGCAAAAUGAAAGAGCAAAACUGAAGCAAAGUAGAACAAAUCAGGAUGAAAACGUGGUCUGAAUUGGGCAGGAGCGUUUCGUCAUCAGAAUGGAACUGAACGAACUAAACUAAAGCAAGUCAGAAUCAAACUGAACAGGAAAUCUGGGUGAACAGAACGAAAACUGAAGAGAGCUGAGAGGUUGAGUAGAUAGAGAGCUUUGUGGCGUUCUUCGCAAAAAGAGAAGAUGCGUUUCAUGACGGCGAGCUUCACAAAUGGAGAGCGGACAAAGCCGAACCUGUGCGUCGUCGGCUGUGAGUGGAGCGGAGCGGUGGAUCAUGGAUCUGAACAAAGAUUCACCCUCUUCAGGAUCGGGAGUCUUCAAUCUAAAGAGAUUGUCUGGUACGAGUAAAGGGCGGCGGCGGCAGGUCGGUCUGAUCUUGAACAGUAUGAUUCGAAGGCGAAAGAUGAAAUAAAACACGGAUCUGGAAGUCGAAGACACGAACAGAGAUGCACGAACAAAUCGGUGCUUGCAAUGUGCGCACAAGUAGAUCUAAGUGAGGACGAAUGGAGAGCGGAUAUGGGUCGAGAGUGCGACGAACUGUGUGGAUGGAAGGAGCAGUGAUGGCGGAAGGAGCAGUGAUGGCAGAAGGAGUAGUGGCGGCGGCGGCAGAAUCAGAGACGAGGAUUUUGAUCUAGGAGGCAGAGCGAAUUACUUGGAGACAUGAUGUGUAUUGAUUACUGAUGGGUAUGGCUCUGCCUCCGUCGACGAAUCAACGGAGGCAGACGUGCAGGGAUGUGACGGCUAGAAUACAAGGAGACUUAAAAUCCUAUAGCUCUGAUACCAUGUUGAUUUUAUGGAAUCAAUCUAUAUUUCAUUAAUUACUUAAUAGAGAUACAAGCCUAUAUAUAACCAUAGAGAAAUACACUUAAGGAAAUAAUAUCAAAUAAUAUCUCCAGAAUAAUAUCUCCAGAAUAAUAUCUCCUAAGAAUAAUAUCUCUUAAGAAUAAUCUAAUUAUAUUAAUACAAGUCCAAUAUAAUCAGAAUUACAAAGAAGAGGUUAGAUUGUCCAAGAUCCAAAACAUUAUAAAAAACUCUUGUCAGAAUUAGUUGGUGCAA